rnacentral:rRNA from 1 species
AAUGAACGUUGGCGGCGUGGAUUAGGCAUGCAAGUCGUGCGGAAAGGCUCCUUCGGGAGUACUCGAGCGGCGAAAGGGAGAGUAACGCGUGGAUAUCUACCCCCUGGCCUGGGAUAGCGGCGGGAAACUGCCGGUAAUACCAGAUAAUAUCUGCGGAUCAAAGGUGUGAUUCCGCCGGGGGAUGAGUCCGCGUCCUAUUAGCUAGUUGGUGAGGUAACGGCCCACCAAGGCUGAGAUGGGUACCGGGUGUGAGAGCAUGGCCCGGCUCACUGGGACUAGGACACUGCCCAGACACCUACGGGUGGCUGCAGUCGAGAAUCUUCGGCAAUGGGCGCAAGCCGGACCGAGCGACGCGCGUGCGGGAUGAGGGCCUUCGGGUUGUAAACCGCUGUCAGAGGGGAGGAAAUGCAUGGGGGUUCUCCCUCAUGUUUGACCUAUCCUCAGAGGAAGUACGGGCUAAGUUCGUGCCAGCAGCCGCGGUAA